GGAGAUUCUGGACAAGAAGCAAAAAUAUCGAUUAGGAUACUGCAUACUCCGCAACAAGAAAACCGAGCGAGAUGUGACUGACAGCGUGGCUACUUAAGUCAAUCUGGCGACAAGGUGGCGUUCGGGACUGGCUUAAGUACACCGCUUAUGAUGAUGCAUUGCAGCUGGUCCCGCCUCCAAUCAUCUCUUCCCACCUGCACAUAGACACACACCUAACACACACAAAACACACACAGCAUAGUUCAGAGUGUUGAGGCAGCAGCCCUGACAUUAACCCCCCCCCACCCCUCUGAUGGGUGCCACCUGGCACACGUCCCAGGUGACCAGGGUGCUGGCAAUGGAAACCAAUGGAAUCCAGCUCCGCUCCUCCGGUCCAAAGCCCUUCCAGUCAACCAAGUAAUGGAAGCCCCUACCACGGCAACAGACAUCCAGGAGCCGGUUCACUGUGUAGGCGGGAUGCCCAGCAAUCAAUUGAGGAGGAGGAGGGGGCGGCACAAGGGGGAGACAACAGGCUUGAAGAAACAGGUUUCAUCAGUGACACAUGAAAGGUGGAAUAAACCUGGAGGGAGGUUGGUAUUUUAAGGCGUACACCACAGGGAUUAACCAGGGCCUCAAUCACAUAGGGACCAAUGAAACGGGGUGCCAACUUCCUGGAAUUCACCUUAAGUGGUAAAUUCCUAGUAUUGAGCCACACCUUUGGGCCGACAUUGUAUGCGGGAGCGGGGGUGCGGUGACGGUCGGCUUGUACCUUAGACCUUGUGGAGGCUCUGAGCAGAGUGGAGUGGGUGUGCUUCCAUAUUUUAUAACACUGGCGCAUGUGAGUCUGCACAGAGGGAACGGCUCUCUCGUGCAGUGCAGACGCUUUCCUGCCCCCUCUGCUUGCUUUGCUUCUGUGUGCAUUUUUUUUUCCUGCUGAUAAGUUUGAUUUUCUUCUUCCAAGGAAAUUGGGAGAAGCGACUCCUGGAUUUUUUUAAACUUGUGGGAUUGUACCUUUUUUGUAGAUGCAGUCAGUUGUUGCCAUAUUCCAAUAUUAGUUUUUUGAUACCCCCUUACGCGUGCACAGGCCUGCUAUUGGCAACGAGACCAGCAACAAGAUGCCUCGCUAUUUCACUGAAGUCUAUCACGGACUGCUACAGAUGAUGCCGGUUCUGGAAACAAAAAUCCACCGUCUCUCCACCGUAUGUGGAUGUAAAUAGACAGUCGAGGAAUUAAGCCACUCUACCGAUGUCUCAAAAUGGUGAGCAGAAGUGUGCUAACAGACAGCCACUUAGCUCAACAAAUAGGACGGACGUGGACUGUGGAAACGCUAAUGGAUCAUCCAGCAGUUCUCGCUGGAAUUUGCUGGGAGCAAAGCCCAAAGAUAUGGGACAUCAUCUAAAAGGGAGGACACAACACCAGCAGAUUACAGAGGAAUCCGGCUGGCCUGCGUUGCGUGCUUAUUCAACCUCGAGUAAGCGGCCUUGGACAGUCGUUACAGCAAAGGGCAAGAAAAGAGGACGCCAGUCAAUGCAAAACAUUGACAUCAGACUUACAGAUAGAUUUGAGCCACUUUUACAAGACCCUGGCCAAGAAUGCUCAUCCCCCCCACCACUGAAAGGGGCCCUGGAUGUAUAAGCAGCAAUCAGAGGUACUGAAGCGAGAUUUCAUUGAUCCCCUAACAAAAGUGGAUGCUUUUCAUAAGUGGACAUCUCCCAAUGUUCCUCCUUUGGAGCUUGGGUGGCGUCUUGCGCCUUGUCUCUCUACCCCCCACCCCCUCUCCCCAGCAAUGAGCAUCACCUGGGUCGGGCACCUGUCUUCAAGCAUCACUCAUUACUGCCUGCAUUUCAAGCCUGUCAAGUCCUGCAGCCUUCGCCUGAGUAUUGACACUUGUUUGUGACUCACCGCCCGACUCUCGUACUUCCAGGUUUUGUAGUAUGAAAGUAACUAUCCUAAGACCGGCAUCUGUACUCACCCGAUUGUGUCCUUCUUCGUCUCCAGUGUUCUUUCCGUGCAUUCCUCGUCUCGCUGACUACACCAGCCACAACACCAAGCUACCCCACCUGUUCACGUUCCCGCUUCUUGCUCGCUUCUUGUUCCGACGGUCCACCACCACGCCUUGGAUAUCCUUACCCUGAGCCAACCUGCAAUAAACCAUUCGAAAUCUACUCCCUCCGCCUCAGUCUGCGCUUGGGUCCAAUCCAACUCACAUCCGACUUCGCACCAUGACAAUUUUGUCAUAACGGGAGACUUUAACAUUCAUGUUGACAAUAAAAUGGAAAAAAAAAUAUUAAGAGUCCAACCCACACUCAAGGUUACAUCUUAGACCUGCUCAUCUCUAAGGAUGUUGAAAUUCUAUUAGUUGACAUUAAGGAUAUGGCUAUUUCUGACCAUUUUUGUGUAUUCUUUGAAUUACACAUUCUUCCAAAAGUUCAGACAACCUCUAUGUCUAUUAAGAAAAGCUACAUAAUGCUGUCGCUCCUAUUAAAACUCAGAUAAUCUUGAGGCGACCUAGAACACCAUGGAGGAGCACAAUGAUGGUAAAGACCUCUAAAUCAAAGUGUAGAAAAGCAGAACGUAAAUGGAGAAAAACUAAACUCCAAAUUGAGUAUGACCUCUACAUAGUCUUUGUAAUUUUAACCAAGAGUUAGUCAGGGCUAGACAGCAACACUUUUCUGAAAUCAUCACGAAGAACUUCAACAAUACUCGCACUCUGUUUGCUGUGGUUGACAAGCUCACAACCCUCCAAAUCAGAUAGCUCCAGCUGAUAAAUGCAAUGAAUUUGCUUGUUAUUUUGGUGAAAAAAUACAAUCCAUCAGGUUAAAAUGAUACUACAGCUGAAGCCACCCAGGAAAAACUCUAUUACCAUGUCAGAAUUUGAUAGUUGACCAAAAAACUGUAGAGAAAACAGUUCAGCAGCUGAAACCAUCAACGAGCUGCCUUGACUCAAUACCAUCUGACUUUUUCAAAGCUGUUUUUGAAGACUGUGCUAGCUGAUUUGCAGCAAAUAAUCAAUUGCUCACUUCAGUCAGGCGAGUUUCCUAAAGCUCUUAAAGUAGCUGCCAUUAAGCCUCUGCUAAAAAAUAGAAUGCUGGACGCUUCCAUGUUAGCAUGCUAUAGACCCAUCUCAAAUCUCCCUUUCAUCGCCAAGAUUGUUGAGAAAGUUAUUUUUAAUCAACUCAGCAAUUUCUUAAACUUAAAUUGACUUUUUGACAAAUUUCAAUCAGGUUUCCGAACUCAUCACAGUACAGAAUCUGCUCUUAUCAAGGUGAUAAAAUAUAAGGUUGAAUACUGACUCAGGUAAGUUGUCAAUUCUGGUCUUGUUGGACCUCAGUGCAGCUUUUGAUACAGCAGAUCAUAAUAUACUGCUGAACAGGUUGGAAACGUGGGUAGGACUAAAUGAAACAGUCCUUAAACGGUUCAGGUCCUACGAGUACGGAAAGGACUUAUUUUGUAACCAUUGGAAGUGUUCAAUCUCAUCGAAUGGCAAUGACCUAUGGGGUCCCGCAAGGGUCAGUUCUUGGACCCCUCCUGUUCAGCCUGUAGAUGCUACCCUUGGGUCUAAUUCUUCAGAACUUUAAUUUUGACUAUCCUAGCUAUGCAUAUGACACACAGUUAUACCGAGCAGUGUCUCCAGAUGACUACAGUUCAGUUGGGGUGUUGUGUCACUGUCUAAACAGAUAAAUAACUGGAUGAGCUAAAAUUUUCUUAAAUUAAACCACAACAAAACUGGGAUAAUUAUUUUUGGCAAUGAAGAAAAGAGGAUUGCUGUUAGUAAAUACCUGGAGUCACUGUCUUUAAAAAAAGACCUUGGUGUUCUGAUAGAUUCCAACCUAACUUUCAACAGUCAUAUCAAAUCAAUUACUAACUGUCUUCUACCAUCUGAAGAACAUAUCCAAAGUGAAGUGAAUGUGUCAAGCAGACCAGGAGAAGCUCAUCCAUGCUUUUCUCUCAAGUAGACUUGACUAUUGUAAUGGUCUUCUGACUGGAGUCCCUAAAAAGAGCAUUAAACAGCUGCAGCUCAUUCCGAAUGCUGCGGCACGGGUUUUGACCAAAACAAAUAGGUCAGAGCAUAUUACUCCAAUUCUAAAGUCUUUACAAUGGCUUCCAGUCAGCUUUAGAUUUGAAAGUUCUGCUACUGGUCUAUAAAUCACUAAACUGUUUCGGUCAUGAAUACAUGAAAGAAAUGCUAAUCUAAUGCAAAACUGUUUUUUUUUCUUUGUUUUUAACUAUUUUAAUCAUUUAAGGCACAUUGAGUUACCUUGUGUAUGAAAUGCGCUCUAUAAAUAAAUUUGCUUUGCAUAGCUUCUCUCUCCA